rnacentral:rRNA from 1 species
UGGGGAAUAUUGGACAAUGGGGGGAACCCUGAUCCAGCCAUGCCGCGUGUGUGAAGAAGGCCUUAUGGUUGUAAAGCACUUUAAGCGAGGAGGAGGGUACUGGUAUUAAUACUACCAGCUACUGGACGUUACUCGCAGAAUAAGCACCGGCUAACUCUGUGCCAGCAGCCGCGGUAAUACAGAGGGUGCAAGCGUUAAUCGGAAUUACUGGGCGUAAAGCGCGCGUAGGUGGUUCGUUAAGUUGAAUGUGAAAGCCCCGGGCUCAACCUGGGAACUGCAUCCAAAACUGGCGAGCUAGAGUAGGGCAGAGGGUGGUGGAAUUUCCUGUGUAGCGGUGAAAUGCGUAGAUAUAGGAAGGAACACCAGUGGCGAAGGCGACCACCUGGGCUCAAACUGACACUGAGGUGCGAAAGCGUGGGGAGCAAACAGG